GGUGCCAUAGCUCAGUUGGUAGAGCAACGGACUGAAAAUCCGUGUGUCGCUGGUUCGAAUCCAGCUGGCACCACUA
rnacentral:tRNA from 1 species